UACGGAGGGGGCUAGCGUUAUUCGGAAUUACUGGGCGUAAAGCGCACGUAGGCGGACUGGAAAGUUGGGGGUGAAAUCCCGGGGCUCAACCUCGGAACUGCCUUCAAAACUAUCAGUCUGGAGUUCGAGAGAGGUGAGUGGAAUACCGAGUGUAGAAGUGAAAUUCGUAGAUAUUCGGUGGAACACCAGUGGCGAAGGCAGCUCACUGGCUCGAUACUGACGCUGAGGUGCGAAAGCGUGGGGAGCAAACAGG
rnacentral:rRNA from 1 species